UUGGUUUUUAAAACACUUUUAAUUUGGGGAUCAUUACAGACACACACACAGUUGUAAGGAAUAAUUUGGGAAGAUCCCUGUAUACCUUCCGGCCAGUUUCCCUCAGUGGUGACGCCCUGCAUAGCUUCGGCAUGAGGUCACAACCGGGAUGUGACGUCAGCACAGCCGACCGUGUUAUUCAGGCCAAAGGGGAGCAGGGCUCCCAGGAAAGUGAGGUGUCUGCUCAGACCCCAUGGCCCUCCACUCGGUACCCCUCGCCCUGCCCUCCUUUUCCUUAACAUGACCUGACGUUUGCGGGUCUGUUCACGCUCCCCCAGAGACGCAAGUUGCGGGAGGUCAGAGAUUUGCCCGUGGCGUUCGCUGCUGUAUCCCCUGCGUGGAGAACAGGGCCUGUCACGUCCGGCCUUAGUACAUAGUUUUGAACGGAUGGGUGAGUGACUGAUGCUUCCUCACGGGGCCACAUGAGCUCCCUUUUAAAAACACCUAUAAACUGGGCUCAGUACUCCCGACCUGCAGGGUGUGGUGAGAUCAGGGCAACCCGAGACCUGUCGAGAGUCCGGCCCUUGGUGUCCAGGGGGGUCUCAGCACGGUGGCUGGGGCUGUGCUCCCUCUCCUACCCGGGGAAGCCUCCCCCUGCCCCUCCAGCCUGUGUCGCUGACCUGACCGUUCUGGGAGUCUCACUGCCGCCCUCCCUCCGGGGUCUCUGGGGUUUGUCAGGCCCUAUAAAGGGCCUGUGAUCUUUCAACAGUUAGAGCAUCGCCAAUAAGAGGUUUGCUUUGCGGCACUUGAAGGAGGAGGGCUCUCUGGAGGGUGGCACGGGUCUUAAGUACCCUGAAGUCGGCUAAUUCGGCUCGCUUGGAAUAACAGACAUUUAACACCUUCCAUUGUUCUGGGCCUGGGCCCCAGAGCCCUGCUGGGACUGGGGGCCGCGGGUUCCUCCGGUUCACAGGGGAGGCCGCCCUCCUCAGCACCAGGUCUGAGACCCAGUCUCCCCCUAGCAAGCCUACCAAACCCGAGGGAUCUCCACACCCCACCCCUGCCUCCUUGGAGGAGGAAGCGGGGCAUGGGAUCUCGUAGUGUCAACAGCCCCUUAAGCGAUAAUCCUAGACGUACUUGCCCCUCAUGCCUUUUCUUAUAUUUGCCGUUUCAAUUCCUGACGAGUGGGGGAUCUGAAAACCACCACACUUCUUCCUAUUGUAAAGGUGGACUCCAUCCGUAUCUCUGACUCUUCUGUGCCUCCCUGGGGGUCCCAGCUUGGUGGGAGCCCAGUGUUGAACUGACCCUCAGCCACCGCUGACCCACUGCAGCAAGAGAAGGAAGCCCAAAUGGGGAGUCAGGAAAAGACCCCAGGGAUGCCGCACGCCUCGGACAACGGCGUUCCUCCCUUCUCGUACCCCGGACUUGUACGCUCACAAGAAUUUGCAGGACACCGUGCCGUGCGGGCGCUGUGCUGGCCCAGGGUGCCUGGUAAGGACAGCCAACACUGACAGGGCCCCCCGGGAGCCGUCAGCAGCGGGCGCGUCUGAAGAAUGUCACCUCCGUUAACAGCUGCAACGCCCUCACCUGGCCCCUGAGCUCCCAGCCCUGGCUGUCCCCAGGGCACCGAGGUGUGUGGCCAGAGUUCCACCUCCAGCACGCACAGAGUGGCCGGUGAGCGCCGCCUCACCUCAGCAGCUCCGCAGACUGCCUCCCAGGGAGAAGCAGGCCUUUGUGGGAGACGAUGGGUUCCCUUUAAGGAAGAGACCCCGGGAGCCUUAAGACAUGCUGCUACCGGGCCGCCCAGACUUUCUGAUCUCACUGGUCUGGGUGGGACCCGGGAUCAGUCUGGGUUUUGUGUUUGUUUUUGGAUCAACUCGGGUGAUUCUCUAACCCUUUGCCACUCAGCGGGCGUCCCUGUCGCAAGAGUCCCGCUGGGUUUAACGCCCAGUGUCACUGUCUUGAAAUUCAUCACUGUUGAGCGGGGAGGGGCCUGGUGCUUCCUUUCGGCCCUGGGCCCCCCGGGGUUAUGCAGCCCCGCCUGCAAAGUUCUUCCUCCCACAGACCCAGGCUCCCGACUCAACACCUGAGGCCGGCCUGGGCUUUCUGGAUGUUGUAAAAUACAGAUGGCGGCUUGUGGCGGCCCAGGUUAUACAACACGAGGUAAUCAAUCCGACGAGUAAACACAGCGUAGACAAUCAAAACCAGCCACGGUGCAAAACGGGGCAGAAGGCUGAGAGGCCAUGAGAGGCGGGGACAGGACCGAGGGCAGGACCAAGGACAGGACCGAGGGCAGCACCUCACCUUGGGCCUGGCCCCCGCCCUCAGGGUUUGCUCCUUCACAGGGCUGAUGGUGGUGCACCCCACCGAUGCCUCCCCUCGCCUCUCCCUGCCCAGAUGGUCUCUCUCCCUCCUCCGCUCCGCCAAGCUCCCCAUUCCCUAUAACCACCGUGGUGGUGGUGGUGGGGGGGCUGCUGGAUGGUCCCCCAAAGUAUGUCUACAUUCUAAUCCCUGCACCCUGUGGAUGGGGCCUUGUUUGGAGAAAGGGUCUUUGCAGAUGUGAUUAGGUUAAGAAUUGCAGAGGAGACCACCCUGAAUCCUCUCCCUAGACCAGAGGGGAGGAGAGGCUGUGGAGGACAGGGACAGAAGAGGAGGGACUCGGUCACAAGCUGAGGGAUGCCUGGGCCCCUAAGACCUGGAAGAGGCGGGAAGGAUCCUCCCCUCCAGCCUUUGGAGCGAGGCCCUGUGACACCGUGAAUUGGGGCCUUCUGGCCUCCCAAACUGGGAGAGAAUAAGUUGCUGUUGCUCUAAUCACCUGGUUGGUGGCAAUUAUUUUUGGCAGCUCCCUCCAACUUCCUCUCUGCUUUGUUUUGUGCCAGCUACGUGAGCUCUCCCCCGCCUGCUGUAAGCCGGGCGAGGCUCUGUGUGUGUGCAUGCUGCUCACGGCCGUGGCCCCAGUGCCUUUACAGCGGCAACCGGAGCCUCGGGGCCCCAGGGAGCGAGAAGCAUUGCUCUGGUCCUCAAAGUGACCUGUGGGGCAGCAAACUGCCAGCAAAGCCCGGACCUCAGCCACAGGCAGCCCGAUGACUCCCGGGAGGGGUCCGCUCCUCUGACUCACACCCGGAGACCCUCACCCCCACCGCGAGCGCCCCAAGCCCUUGCCUUCCCAGCUGCCCAGCGUGCUCCCCCUCACUGGGGCCCCAGGACGCGAUGCUCAAGUAGAUGCCCACGCCCGUCUCUGCGUCUUAAUUUAGAUCAUCCUGAUGGAUGGGUGUCCUGCCGACCAUCUUCUUCGCGCCCCUCCCGAUUCAGUCCUCCCUUCCUUGGCGGCCGACCUGCCUGGACUCCAUCGUCCCACCCUGGCCUGUGCUCCCGGCUGGAGCUGGCAGCGGGGGCUCCGUGGACCACAGGACAGUGAGGGGAGGGAGGCUGGGUGCUCUCUGCUCCCUCCCCGCUGGGCCACCUCCACCUGGCGGGCGGUGUCCCCUACCUGAGGUCACAGCUCCCGUUGGGGUCCUCUCCAUGUGGACACCCUGCCAUGAUGUCACCUGUGUCCCCUCAUCCCUACAGUCCCCUGCUGCUGCCUCCCAUCCCUCCCCCAGGUCCACAGACCUUGCCCACACCUUGCAAAUGUUGCUGUUGUUAAAGCCCCUUCAAUUUAUUUUUUGUUUAAGUUUAUUUGUUUAUUU